rnacentral:snoRNA from 1 species
AUCUUGUGAUGAUCAACUCAGUUCUGCUUCCGAACGAGAGCAAUCAACCUCUUGUGGACAACACUUUUUACCAAAAAAACUUUUCUGACCC